rnacentral:rRNA from 1 species
UACGUAGGGGGCAAGCGUUGUCCGGAAUCAUUGGGCGUAAAGAGCGUGUAGGCGGCCUGGUAAGUCCGCUGUGAAAGUCCAGGGCUCAACCCUGGAAUGCCGGUGGAAACUGUCAGGCUCGAGUCCGGAAGAGGCGAGUGGAAUUCCUGGUGUAGCGGUGAAAUGCGCAGAUAUCAGGAGGAACACCAAUGGCGAAGGCAGCUCGCUGGGACGGUACUGACGCUGAGAAGCGAAAGCGUGGGGAGCAAACAGG